CUGCGAAAGGCGAGCUCCUCAAAACAUUACACUGUGUUCUCACCCACGUUAUUCACCAGAUCUGGCAUCCUACGACUUCUGGCUCUGCUCCAAAGUCAAAAUACCCAUCAAAGGACGUUCUGAAUCGACUCAGGACAUCAAGGCAGCUAAGAGGACAGCACAUCUGAAGACCCUCAUUAAAGAGGACUUGCGGAGCUGCCUCGGGAACUGGCAAGACUGAUGGGCUGACUGUUGGAAACAAAGGUGUGUAUCUCUGUCCCGUUUACGAAGCUUUUGAAGGUUUCCAGUGGGUUUAAGCACAGAAACAGUCGUGCAGGGACCCUGAGGCACACAGAAGCAAGAGAACUUCACCAAAGGUACCAAGCUAAGUGAGCUAAGGGUGCACCAGGCAGACUGCUGGUUCUAAUCAAUGGGUCUUUAAACCAGCCUGGACCAAAUCUAGCCUUCUUCCUGUUUUGUUUCUUUUGUUGUUUUGACUUGUGAACCAAGAACAGAUUUUUAAAAUUUUUUAUUUAUUUAUUUUUUGUGAGACAGGGUCUCAUGUUGAACUCACUAUGUGGCCCAGAUUGGCUUAGAACUCGGCCAUCCGUCUGCCUCAGCUUCCUGUUUCCAGAGUGCUAAGAUUACAGGCAAGCUCCACCGUGCCCUGCAAAAACAAAAUUUGUUUUUUAACGAUCAAAAAAUCAAAGGAAGAGGUCUGGGGAUUUAGCUCAGCGGCAUAAGCACCUGCCUGGCAAGCUCGUGGUUAUGAGUUCAAUCCCUGGUUAAAAAAAAAAAAAAAAAAAUCAAAGGAAGAAUGGAUACUUUGUGACUCAUGAAAAUUAUAGCAAUCUAAAUCUUUAAUUGUAAAGCUUCAUUAGAACACAACUAUGCUAAUUUUACAGCUUGCCUAUGGCUGCAUAUGUCCUGUAUAGGCAUAAGUGAGUGGUUGUCACAAAUCCCAGAUGGCCCACAAAGCCUGAAGUACUCUCUGGCUCCUGGAAAAAGUGUGCAGAGCACUGCUGUAACCCGCAGUUCGGCAGCCAACCAGCCUGCUGUGUCUGACCCCACCCCCUGCUCCAGCUCAGAAGUCAGGAAAGAGCCGCCUUAGGCAUUGUUCCCUGCUUAAAAGCACCAGUCCUUCUUCCUGGUUUAGAAGGUUGGUAGUCUUUCUCUUGUGAAAACCAAGGAUAUGGUAGGCAGGAUAUGCUGGAACACACGUGUACUCCCAGCCUUGGCAAACUGAAGCGGGAGGAUUCCAUUCCUGGCUAGGAAUUCAAGGCAAGUCUGGACUACAUAGCCAGACCCAGUCUCAAAAACCAAACAAAAAAACAUUCUCCAAUACCCACCCAGGCUACCUUGAUUUACCUCAACGUAUUAGUUGUAUCAAGUUCCAAAGCUUGCUUUUAUAAGAUACAAAAAGGAUAGUUUUACAAUUUUUAACUUUACAACUUUAAACUUUUACAACUUCCAGCAGAGAGCAGCUAAUUCUUACUAUUCUAGGUUGUGAUUUACAAAGCACCUUCUUGACAUUAUUGCUUUAAUUGGUUGCCCUGAUUCCAGUAAACUUCCCAACCCUGUUUUCCCAAGUGGCUGUAAAUGGUUUCAUCUAAAGAUCUAAAGAUGUCUCCCCAAAGCCUCACAGGCUCAUGAGGGGGACACUUUUGGGAGGUGAUUGGAACAUGGGGCACUGUAUUCAUUAGGGAUUGGUCCACAGCUGAGUGUAUGACUAAAAGUGAUGCAGGGAGGUGGAGCCUGGUGGCCAGAGGCAGCCAGUGUGGCAUGGCACAGAAGGGUGUAUCUUGCUCCGCUUCUGCUCCCUCUCUGGUCUCCUCACCCUAUCUACCAUGGGCUGCUUCUCUUCUCUAGUCCCCUCUGCCAUCCCUCCCUGCUUGAGCCAGCUGACUAUGACUAAAACUGCCACAAACCAUAAGCCAAAAUAAACCUCUCCUCCUUUUAA